rnacentral:rRNA from 1 species
CCAGACUCCUACGGGAGGCAGCAGUGGGGAAUAUUGGACAAUGGGGGGAACCCUGAUCCAGCGACGCCGCGUGAGUGAAGAAGUAUUUCGGUAUGUAAAGCUCUAUCAGCAGGGAAGAAAGAAAUGACGGUACCUGACUAAGAAGCCCCGGCUAACUACGUGCCAGCAGCCGCGGUAAUACGUAGGGGGCAAGCGUUAUCCGGAUUUACUGGGUGUAAAGGGAGCGCAGGCGGUUCUGCAAGUCUGAUGUGAAAGCCCGGGGCUCAACCGCGGGACUGCAUUGGAAACUGCGGGACUGGAGUGCCGGAGAGGUAGGCGGAAUUCCUAGUGUAGCGGUGAAAUGCGUAGAUAUUAGGAGGAACACCAGUGGCGAAGGCGGCCUACUGGACGGUGACUGACGCUGAGGCUCGAAAGCGUGGGGAGCAAACAGGAUUAGAUACCCGAGUAUA